ensembl:lncRNA novel transcript
GUGUCUGAGCCAGUCAGAGCCUUGGCCUUGCUCUGACCCACAGCCACAAUCCAACAUGAAGAUGGUUCAAGAGACCUUAGACCAGGGAAGUGCCUUCCAAAGCCAAAUACAGGAGCAUGAGAGAAGCUGUGUCGUGAUGGACCGCACCCAUCCUUCCCACUCUGUGUUCUCUUUGUCCUGACUUUAUUGAUGGGGUGAGGUGGACUUCUUGUAAAUCCAUCAGAAAGAUAUCUGAAGCAUACCUCGGGGUAUAUAUUAAAUCUAAGAACCUGAUGUCCUUUUACUGCUGCCCCUGAAUAAAAAUUAUGCAUCUGUUUCCGCACUUGA